rnacentral:rRNA from 1 species
AUGUCGUCUCCCUCCUCCUCCAACCAUGAGGGCAACGAUGCUUGGCUAAUGAAUAUAGAGCUGAAGAGAGAAGAACCCAUGGAGAUCAACAAGGAUGAAGGGAUCAAGAAAUCCAUGGGGGAUCAAGUUCCGGCAACAGAAGACACCCUUCAACUUGAUCACAAUCUUCUUACCCCAACAGAGAUCGAAGCUUUCAAGAUGAUUGAGUUAGCUCGUAUACAAAAUAAGUAUCUCACACGUGAAAAUAUUUUGUUGAAGGAGCAUAUCAUCGCACUCAAGGGCAUUAUUCCGCAAGUUAGAAGACCUCCUACGCUCGAUGUGCGACUAUCCAUCAUCAACAACUCCACCUUAUUCACCAACAAAGGAGACAUAAUCACAUGGGUAUGGGCACUCCCCUUGGCAACUGCCAAGCUUGGGGGAGUGCCCCGGUAUCGUAUCACCAUCACUUUUAUCUUUACCGUUUUUCUUAGUUCGAUCCUUUUGGUAAUAUCUUGA